CCUGGACGCUAUCCAGCACUUGAGGAUGCUCAUGUACAUGGGAGAUGCUAUGCUGGUCCCCCUUCCUUAUAGGAGCACACCCUCUCUUCCAAACACUUUGGCCAUGGCCAUGUGAAUUGCCUGACUCAAUCCCAUAUGAGUGAUGGGAGUUACACCACUUCCCAGCAGAAGUUCUAAGAGGCAUCCGAAGACCCCACCAUCUCUUUUACUCUUUCUCUCCAGCACUAAAAUGGAAAAUCCUAAAUAGAAGUUGCUUUUUCAGUCUAUGUGGGGGAAUGAGCAGAACCUUGCUGAAGCCGCCCAGGCUCCACCAACAUGAAAAGAAGGUGGAAAAAUGGUCAUAUGAAAGGAAGUGAAUAUGAACCUGGGACUUUAGAGCAUUCUCUGGGACAAGAAAGAAGGUAUCCACCACCAAAAAGCAACAGUCUUGGGCAGCCGCCUCGUAGACCCAGCUGCCUUUAGAAAUGAGAAGUUUGUUGGGAAACUCACGGCAUAGUUAUGAGAUCUAGCUAGCAAUCCCAGGGACUCAAGCAUUGGUGGGUGGUUAGGUGGAUGUGAGGAAGGGCUAAAAGACUUAAUGAUCUGAAACUGCUGAUCAGUGAGGCAAGUGAAUUCCCCUCCCUGCAGGAAGUAUACAAUUGGGAAAACUAGAGGGGCACCGGAGACGGGUAGUCCUGAUGAAGAUGAUAGAGAUUCUGUGAUUUUAUUGAUGCUUUUGUCUUUUUUGUAAUGGGCACAGUGUGUUAUUACUGAAUCCCUGAGCUGAGAUAAAGGAUUUUGACAUUUUGAAGAUGAGAAAACUAGCUACCUUGUACACUUCAUUAGAAGUCACUGUGUUAAGUUCUUCAACUACAGGAUUUGGUAUUCAGCUUCUCUGCUACACUGUACACCCCUAAUAGAUUGCUUCAACCUACUUCCCAUAUUUUUCCUCCUCCUACCUGAUGGACCUUCCCCAAACCCACUCCUAGGAGCCCACGUAAUGUCUCUGCCUUCUGUGCGGAGGGAAAGAUCUUCCAUGGCUCAUUAGAAAGCUACCAAGAUGUUGUUCAAGAGAAGGUCACCCACAUACCUGAUCUGUUCUGUCUCUCGACUCUAUGUCCACAAACUCCAGAGGAUCCUCGGCUCUGAAGUUCAAGGAUGGGAGCAGAAGAAUCUUCAGUGAUAGAUAAAGGAGACAGUUGUCUACUGAUGCCACUGUGUGAACUGGGGCAGUUGGCUCCUGGCUUACAUCGAGUGACUGAUGACCUGGAGGUACCUGGGAAGACAGAGAGCAAACCAGUUUGAGAACUUCCUGUGGAAAAAUCAGAAGUAGAUUUUACCAUAUUGGCAGUCAAAUAUAUGGCAGCAACAAUCACAAUUCUGACGAGCUCCUUUUUAAUUCCAUAAAAAGGGUUCCUAAAAAGAAAGUGCUAUGUUGGUGAGCUCUGAGUUUCUAAGAUAAAUAAUCAUUUUUGGAUAAAUUCAUUAACUAGAGAUGAAUAUUAGAAAAUGGUACUUGGAUGGAUAUGUGUGUUCUGAAUUAAAACUGUUAAAACAGCCAAAUAGUUUAUCGCAAGGAAAGAAAAGUAUUAUGUGAGGCAUGCUUUCCUUCCUCAGGUUGUCAAAUUCAUAACUGGUAAAAAUGCCAAGGAAAUCUCUGAGGAAACCUACUGACAUGUUCCCAUCAGAUUGGUCACUAAAAUCUAUUUUGUGUGUCUCCUCAAUUACUGCAACCUCCAUUCAGGGUCACGGAUGAAAGCCCAGCCUUCAGAGUCCACCAAAGACCAUGCUCCCUCCUACUCUGAUUAAUGCUCCCUGAAUCCUCAGUCCAGGAUUGGCUUUAUGAGCCUGUAACUAGGACUGUCACAUAGGGUGCUGGGCUCAGAGGUCCCCAUCCUAACACGACCUGCCCCCUCAUUCUCAACUCUUCCACCUGAAUGGUUCAUUUGUUGACAUGAAGAAAUAAACAUUGGCAUAUUA